AUGACCGGUGAUAAAAAAUGGUUCUCCUCCCUCACACGUGCAUCUCGGGCUGAGAGUGUAACUUUUGGAGAUGCUUCUACUUCUACUGUUGUAGCGAAAGGUACAGUAAAGGUAACCGACAAAUUUAUGUUCAAAGAUGUUGCUUUGGUUGAAAAUCUGAAAUACAACUUGUUGUCGGUUUCACAAAUGAUUGAUGAGGAUCUUGAAGUUUCAUUUAAGAAAAAUGCUUGCAAAGUUUUAGAUGCUUCAGGUGAUCUUGUCUUUGAGAUAUCACGCUUUGGGAGAGUUUUUAAGGCUGAUUUUCAUGCUUCUUCAAAUGUUAAGUUUAGGUGUCUAGUUGCCAAUACAUCUACAGAUUUAUUCUUUUGGCAUCGUAGACUUGGGCAUAUUGGUUUUGAUCAUCUCACUCGUAUAAGUGGUAUGAAUCUUAUAAAUGGUUUGCCUAAACUUAAGAGAGAAAAAGAUAUUGUAUGCUCUCCUUGUAGACAUGGUAAGAUGGUUGCAGGUUCACAUGCACGCAUUACCAGUGUCAUGACUAACGCUCCAGGACAGCUUCUACAUCUUGAUACGGUUGGUCCAUCAAGGGUACAAUCUUUUGGGGGGGGAGGAAAUCUUUGUAGAUGA
rnacentral:rRNA from 1 species